UGGGGAAUAUUGCACAAUGGGCGCAAGCCUGAUGCAGCAACGCCGCGUGAACGAUGAAGGUCUUCGGAUCGUAAAGUUCUGUUGCAGGGGAAGAUAAUGACGGUACCCUGUGAGGAAGCCCCGGCUAACUACGUGCCAGCAGCCGCGGUAAUACGUAGGGGGCUAGCGUUAUCCGGAUUUACUGGGCGUAAAGGGUGCGUAGGUGGUCCUUCAAGUCGGUGGUUAAAGGCUACGGCUCAACCGUAGUAAGCCGCCGAAACUGGAGGACUUGAGUGCAGGAGAGGAAAGUGGAAUUCCCAGUGUAGCGGUGAAAUGCGUAGAUAUUGGGAGGAACACCAGUAGCGAAGGCGGCUUUCUGGACUGCAACUGAAACUGAGGCACGAAAGCGUGGGUAGCAAACAGG
rnacentral:rRNA from 1 species